AUUGAACGCUGGCGGCAUGCCUAACACAUGCAAGUCGAACGAAAGCACGGGUGCUUGCAUCUGGUGGCGAUUGGCGAACGGGUGAGUAAUACAUCGGGACAUGUCCCGUAGUGGGGUAUAGCCCGGCGAAAGCAGGAUUGAUACCGCAUACGAACUACGUAUAACAGCUGGUGACCUACUGACCUCGGGCUAUGGGGUUGGCCGUCGGCUGAUUAGCUAGUUGGUAGGGUAAAGGCAUACCAACGCGACGAUGAGUAGCUGGUCUGAGAGGACGACCAGCCACACUGGAACUGAGACACGGCCCAGACUCCUACGGGAGGCAGCAGUGGGGAAUUUUGGGCAAUGGGCGAAAGCCUGACCCAGCAACGCCGCGUGUGUGAAGAAGGCCUUCGGGUUGUAAAGCACUUUUGUCCGGAAAGAAAAACUUGGCACUAAUACGGUCGGGGGAUGACGGUACCGGAACAAUAAGCACCGGCUAACUACGUG
rnacentral:rRNA from 1 species